AAUAGAUACCCGGGUAGUCCAUGCCGUAAACGUUGGGCACUAGGUGUGGGACCCCCUCAACGGGUUCCGUGCCGUAGCUAACGCAUUAAGUGCCCCGCCUGGGGAGUACGGCCGCAAGGCUAAAACUCAAAGGAAUUGACGGGGGCCCGCACAAGCAGCGGAGCAUGUUGCUUAAUUCGAGGCAACGCGAAGAACCUUACCUGGGUUUGACAUGUACGGAAAAGCCACAGAGAUGUGGUGUCCUUUUGGGCCGUACACGGGUGGUGCAUGGUUGUCGUCAGCUCGUGUCGUGAGAUGUUGGGUUAAGUCCCGCAACGAGCGCAACCCUUGUCCUAUGUUGCCAGCGGGUAAUGCCGGGGACUCGUAGGAGACUGCCGGGGACAACUCGGGAGGAAGGUGGGGAUGACGUCAAAUCAUCAUGCCCCUUAUGUCCAGGGCUGCAAACAUGCUACAAUGGCCAGUACAAAGGGCUGCUAUACCGCGAGGUUGAGCGAAUCCCACAAAGCUGGUCUCAGUUCGGAUUGGAGUCUGCAACUCGACUC
rnacentral:rRNA from 1 species